UACGGGGGGAGCAAGCGUUGUUCGGAUUUACUGGGCGUAAAGGGCGGGUAGGCGGCCACCGCAAGUCAGUUGUGAAAUCUCCGGGCUUAACCCGGAAAGGUCAACUGAUACUGCGGGGCUAGAGUGCAGAAGGGGCAACUGGAAUUCUCGGUGUAGCGGUGAAAUGCGCAGAUAUCAGGAGGAACACCUAUUGCGAAGGCAGCUCGCUGGGACGUUACUGACGCUGAGACGCGAAAGCGUGGGGAGCAAACAGG
rnacentral:rRNA from 1 species